AUAAAAGCAAUACUCUGUGAAAUGAUUUCUGAACUGUGAAAAUUUGUCUUUCAGACCCAUCAUCCUAGAGCAUUGAGACUGGAUAGAUUGCUUUGUUGGAAGAGCCACCCCAUCUUCGCCAGAGGCCAUUCUAAUCUUCUCUGGGGUCAGUCGACUAUUGAGCUUCAACGGUCCCAACAGCCCUCUCUCCCGUCGUGCUGCACUUACCGCGUCCUGGAUGGCGAAAAACACCGAACACCCCAGGAAUAUCCCAGACUCUCCCAGGCCCUGGAAGGGAAACAAGUCAACUAGAUUAUGACUCUCUCUUUCCCUCUCUGUAUAUAUAUACCUAUGUAUGUGUAUUAUGUAUAUGUGCAUCUAUAGGUACAUAUGUGCAUGUACGGGUACAUAAAAUAUUAAAUAUUACAUGUACAA